GGGGUUGUGGCUCAGCAGUAGAGCGCUCACCUAGCAUGUGUGAGGGAGGCCCUGGGUUCGAUCCUCAGCACCACA
rnacentral:tRNA from 1 species